UAUCUCUGUAGAGUCUGCAUAUCAAUAAGCGGAGGAAAAGAAACUAACUAGGAUUCCCUUAGUAACGGCGAGUGAAGCGGGAAGAGCUCAAAUUUGAAAUCUUCAAGGGUUUACCUUUACGAAUUGUAGUUUAAAGAAGUGUUUUCUGUUGAGUGUUUUGGUAAAAGUUCUUUGGAAUAGGACAUCAUAGAGGGUGAGAAUCCCGUAUUUGACCAUUACUUUCCAACUUUGUGAUACACUUUCAAAGAGUCGGAUUGUUUGGGAAUGCAGUCCAAAAUGGGUGGUAAAUUUCAUCUAAAGCUAAAUAUUGGCGAGAGACCGAUAGCGAACAAGUACCGUGAGGGAAAGAUGAAAAGAACUUUGAAAAGAGAGUUAAACAGUACGUGAAAUUGUCAAAAGGGAAGCGUUUGACACCAGUGUUGUUUUCUCGAAAAUCAAUUAAAAAUGGCUUGAUUUUGUGUUGUAUUGACCUUAAAAGCUUUCUUCACUUUUUUCAUGUCUUUUUUAAUGCACUUUUCGUUUAACAAGUCAACAUCAGUUUCUUUUGUUGUAAAAAGGUCAUUGGAAGGUGGCUUUCUUUUCGGAGAAAGUGUUUAUAGCCUUUGACUUCUGCAAUCGGAGAGACUGAGGUCUGCAGCGUAGAUCCUUCUGGAUUAGAUUCAUUUGUGCUAAGUUACAACCGUUUAUAGACAACUUGUUGACUAUAUUCGAUCCUGUAGCUUACUCGCUUAUGUAAUUUUACCUACGCUUAGGAUGUUGAUAUGCAUGACUGAUAU
rnacentral:rRNA from 1 species